rnacentral:tRNA from 1 species
AGGCCAGUAGCUCGAAAUGGUAGAGCGACAGACUCCAAAUCUGACGGUUGGGGGUUCGAAUCCCUCCUGGCCUG